CACUGUUACAGUAUGUCCAACGGUAGCUCUUUCUUUAGACAACCACUAUUACAGUAUGUCCAACGGUAGCUCUUUCUUUAGACAACCACUAUUACAGUAUGUCCAACGGUAGCUCUUUCUUUUGACUCCGUGAAGACUCAUGCAGCAUCUGCCACGUCCCUCUUGUCUACCCUCCCUCAUCCCCAGCUUCUGGGUCAGGCACAGAUCUGAACUCCCUCGUUCUUCUCGUGUUCUUCUCCAAACCCUCCCAGGAAAGAUGCUGGAGUGGCGGAGCUAGCAGGUCCCCAAGUCUGCUUGGAGAAGAGCUCCUCAGGACAGUUGCUCCACUAGAAACACCUGGACCAUUAGCAUCCUGACACCUAUUCUACAGCAAAGCAACAAAAGAAAUUUUAGGAAAAGAUAUUGGCAGAGUUUCGGGGAGAGGGAAAGAAAUCUAGUGAACAUCUGGUCCAACACCUGUCCACAUCGUCUGGUGUAAAAUGCUCAUACUCCAACAUCAUAUGAUGCAGAGAUGUCCUCAUCACAAGAGUCCCAGUCCAUUUCCAAAAGUACCAUUGAGUUCAUUUUUGUGUUGGCUAACUACUCCUGGACAUGGGGCCUACCAAGAAGCAUGCUAAAAUUCUAGGCAGAGAUUAUAGCAUGGAUAUAAAUAGACCGAGAGCAUCAUUAUAUGUAAUUUGGAAAGUGUUUCACUGGCAUACAUCUGCAAGCAGUUCAGGGACACUUUCAAGCUGUGUUUACAUGAUAUUAAACAUCUGGAUGAAAACUGAAAAAAAUAAUCAAUUUGGAUUGAAAACAAAACAGAAGUACAGAUUUCAGAGUUCUGGCCCCUGGGAUUCUGCAUGCAAAGCUGACUUCCACAGCCCGGGAAUGAGAUCAUGAGGCAAAAGAAGAGCCAUUAAAAUGGCCAAGGGGCAAAGGGAGCUUCUGUGGGCAGGCGAACUUUUAAAAAAGAACUCUAUUAUGCAAGCAAAAAAGGGAUACAAUCAAAAACUAAUAUGAAGAACAUGAGCCAUAAAAAUCCAAACUUCUGGAGCCAGGAUAUUUGAAGCUUGAAGGCAAUGACUUCAGUUCAAAUGAAAAUCCAGCAAAUCCUUGUUACCAAGGGAGGGUCUUUCAGGAAACUCAAGCUUCCAGGUAGUCAAUGAAUUCUUCCUUAAGAUACUUCAGUUUUCACAGUUGGUUUUGACUCUUGAUGUAGAAAGCUCUUCUAGAACUCUCUGAAAUAUAUUUUACCAUGGUUGCUACUUUAGCGCAGUAUGUUAUAUAUGCUUGUGAUUC